rnacentral:tRNA from 1 species
UCCCUGGCAGUCCAGUGGUUAGGACUCUCAACUUCCAUUAGAGUGGGUGCAGGUUUGAUCCCUGGUCCAGGAA